rnacentral:rRNA from 1 species
CAGGAUGAACGCUAGCUACAGGCUUAACACAUGCAAGUCGAGGGGAAACGACAUCGAAAGCUUGCUUUUGAUGGGCGUCGACCGGCGCACGGGUGAGUAACGCGUAUCCAACCUGCCCACCACUUGGGGAUAACCUUGCGAAAGUAAGACUAAUACCCAAUGAUAUCUCUAGAAGACAUCUGAAAGAGAUUAAAGAUUUAUCGGUGAUGGAUGGGGAUGCGUCUGAUUAGCUUGUUGGCGGGGUAACGGCCCACCAAGGCGACGAUCAGUAGGGGUUCUGAGAGGAAGGUCCCCCACAUUGGAACUGAGACACGGUCCAAACUCCUACGGGAGGCAGCAGUGAGGAAUAUUGGUCAAUGGGCGAGAGCCUGAACCAGCCAAGUAGCGUGCAGGAUGACGGCCCUAUGGGUUGUAAACUGCUUUUAUAAGGGAAUAAAGUGAGUCUCGUGAGACUUUUUGCAUGUACCUUAUGAAUAAGGACCGGCUAAUUCCGUGCCAGCAGCCGCGGUAAUACGGAAGGUCCGGGCGUUAUCCGGAUUUAUUGGGUUUAAAGGGAGCGUAGGCCGGAGAUUAAGCGUGUUGUGAAAUGUAGACGCUCAACGUCUGCACUGCAGCGCGAACUGGUUUCCUUGAGUACGCACAAAGUGGGCGGAAUUCGUGGUGUAGCGGUGAAAUGCUUAGAUAUCACGAAGAACUCCGAUUGCGAAGGCAGCUCACUGGAGCGCAACUGACGCUGAAGCUCGAAAGUGCGGGUAUCGAACAGGAUUAGAUACCCUGGUAGUCCGCACGGUAAACGAUGGAUGCCCGCUGUUGGUCUGAAUAGGUCAGCGGCCAAGCGAAAGCAUUAAGCAUCCCACCUGGGGAGUACGCCGGCAACGGUGAAACUCAAAGGAAUUGACG